AAGAAAUUGAGGCAGACAGAGGUUAGAGGAUUUGAACUGAUGUUGCCAGGACUUGAAACCAGACAGUGGCUUAUAUUAGAGUCUGUGUUCUCAGCUACCAUACUAUCUGCUGUUCUGCUGAUGACCUGCGGAAAGCUUCAUUCACUGGCAAAAGAGAAAUGCUUCAAUCAUUCCCAAGGAGAAAGAUACUGGAAAAUGUGGUUUGAAGUGUAAAUUUAUAGAGCAGAGUCAUAACCGACAGUUAAUAUCUAAUGGUUUCAAUCAAAUUUAUAACAGAGCUGAGUUGGCAGCAAGCAUUCCUGGACCUGUCUCUCCAAUCACAGAGUACCCAGGGACACAGGCAUUUACACACGGACUCCGGGAGCUUGUGCAAUGUGAUACCAACUGCAGUUCUCUUCAUGAACAUAACCUCAGAACCGAAAGGCUUAUAGGUGGAAGAAACAUGUCUUGAGUCUCAGAUAAGACUUGCGGCUUUGGACUUUGAGUUCACACUGGAACCAAUUAAGACUUUGAGGAAGACUAUUAGGAAGGGAUGAUUGUAUUUUGCAUUGCGAGAAGGACAUGAGAUUUGGGGGACCAGAGGCAGAAUGAUAUACUUCGGAUGUUUGUCUUCUCCAAAUCUCAUGUUGAAAUGUGAUCCCCAAUGUUGGAAGUGAAGCCUGGUGGGAGGUGUUAGGGUCAUGGGGGCAGAUCUCUCAUGAAUGGCUUGGUGCCUACCCCACAAUAAUAAGUGGCAAUGAGUUUACAUGAGGUCUGGUUGUUUAAAAAGAGUGUGGCAUCUCUCCCCUCUCUCUCUCGUUCCCUUUCUCACCACGUGAUAGGUCUGCACACCCUUGGCCUUCUGCCAUGACUGGAAGCUUCCUUAGGCCCUUACCAGAAGCAGAUGCUAGCACCAUGCUUCCUGUACAGCCUGCAGAACUGUGAACCAAAAUAAACUUCUUUUCUUUAUAAAUUAUA
rnacentral:lncRNA from 1 species